rnacentral:sRNA from 1 species
AUCUGCUGCGGGCUGAUAAAAUGAAUGUGGGUAUCGAUGCCGCCCGCGGUGACAAUCAUGCCUUCGCCCGCGAGCGCCUCGGUGGACGCGCCGACUGUCAUGCCCGGCGUGACGCCGUCCAUGGUAUCCGGGUUGCCUGCCUUGCCGAUACCGGCAAUUUUGCCGUCCUUGAUGCCGAUAUCCGCCUUGACAAUGCCGGUGGAGUCGACAAUCAGUGCAUUGGUGAUGACGAGAUCAAGAUCGCCGUCCAUGCUGCGGGUCCUGACCGACUGGCCCAUGCCAUCGCGC